rnacentral:rRNA from 1 species
AGGUUAAGUGAAUAAGGGCGCACGGUGGAUGCCUUGGCACUAGGAGCCGAUGAAGGACGGGACUAACACCGAUAUGCUUUGGGGAGCUGUAAGUAAGCUAUGAUCCAGAGAUUUCCGAAUGGGGGAACCCAGCAUCUUUUAUAGGAUGUUACACAGUUGUGAAUACAUAGCAGCUGUGAGGUAGACGCAGAGAACUGAAACAUCUAAGUACCUGCAGGAAGAGAAAGAAAAUUCGAUUCCCUGAGUAGCGGCGAGCGAAACGGGAAAAGCCCAAACCAACAAGCUUGCUUGUUGGGGUUGUAGGACUCCGAUAUGGUAGUUGAAACAGAUAGUCGAAAUACUUGGAAAAGUAUGUCAAAGAGGGUAAAAACCCCGUAGAUGAAAUCUGGCUCACACCUAGGAGGAUCCUGAGUACGGCGGAACACGAGGAAUUCCGUCGGAAUCCGGGAGGACCAUCUCCCAAGGCUAAAUACUCCCUAGUGACCGAUAGUGAACCAGUACCGUGAGGGAAAGGUGAAAAGCACCCCGGAAGGGGAGUGAAAUAGAUCCUGAAACCGUGUGCCUACAACAAGUUAGAGCCCGUUAAUGGGUGAUAGCGUGCCUUUUGUAGAAUGAACCGGCGAGUUACGAUAGCAUGCGAGGUUAAGUUGAAGAGACGGAGCCGCAGCGAAAGCGAGUCUGAAUAGGGCGAAUGAGUAUGUUGUCGUAGACCCGAAACCAUGUGAUCUACCCAUGUCCAGGUUGAAGGUGCGGUAAAACGCACUGGAGGACCGAACCCACGUACGUUGAAAAGUGCGGGGAUGAGGUGUGGGUAGCGGAGAAAUUCCAAACGAACUUGGAGAUAGCUGGUUCUCUCCGAAAUAGCUUUAGGGCUAGCCUCGGAAUUGAGAAUGAUGGAGGUAGAGCACUGUUUGGACUAGGGGCCCAUCUCGGGUUACCGAAUUCAGAUAAACUCCGAAUGCCAUUCAUUCAUAUCCGGGAGUCAGACUGUGAGUGAUAAGAUCCAUAGUCGAAAGGGAAACAGCCCAGACCACCAGCUAAGGUCCCCAAAUAACUAUUAAGUGGAAAAGGAUGUGGGGUUGCACAGACAACUAGGAUGUUGGCUUAGAAGCAGCCACCAUUUAAAGAGUGCGUAAUAGCUCACUAGUCGAGUGACCCUGCGCCGAAAAUGUACCGGGGCUAAAUAGUUUACCGAAGCUGUGGAGUGCACCGUAAGGUGCAUUGGUAGGAGAGCGUUCUAAGGGCGUUGAAGGUAGAUCGUGAGGACUACUGGAGCGCUUAGAAGUGAGAAUGCCGGUAUGAGUAGCGAAAGACAGGUGAGAAUCCUGUCCACCGUAUGACUAAGGUUUCCUGGGGAAGGCUCGUCCGCCCAGGGUUAGUCGGGACCUAAGCCGAGGCCGACAGGCGUAGGCGAUGGACAACAGGUUGAUAUUCCUGUACCCGUUGUUUUUGUUUGAGCAAUGGAGGGACGCAGGAGGCUAAGAAGUGCAGACUGAUGGAUAUGUCUGUUCAAGCAGUGAGUCUUAGUGGGAGUCAAAUGCUUCUACUUUCAAGGACAAGCUGUGAUGAGGAGGGAAAUAAUAGUACCGAAGCUUCUGAUGUCACACUGCCAAGAAAAGCUUCUAGUGAGAAAACAAUGGCCCGUACCGCAAACCGACACAGGUAGUCGAGGAGAGCAUCCUAAGGUGAGCGAGAGAACUCUCGUUAAGGAACUCGGCAAAAUGACCCCGUAACUUCGGGAGAAGGGGUGCUGCUCUAACGAGCAGCCGCAGUGAAUAGGCCCAAGCGACUGUUUAUCAAAAACACAGGUCUCUGCAAAAUCGAAAGAUGACGUAUAGGGGCUGACGCCUGCCCGGUGCUGGAAGGUUAAGAGGAGUGCUUAGCGUAAGCGAAGGUACGAAUUGAAGCCCC